UUCAAAGCCCUCCGCUGUUCAGUGUUCUAUCAAUAAUGGUUUAAUGGAAAAUCAGAUGAAAAGAGUUUUUCAAAUUACAAUUGAGCAAAUGGCAUGAAGCUCAGCCUUGUUAAGUGCUGCCUCAUCGGUUAGCAAUUUGUUAGUUCGUUCACGAAACGUUUACUUACAACGCUUACUAAAAAGUAACUGAAAAAAAUUACAUGCAAUUAUAGAUUUUUUUUGUAGAAGUGAGAACAAAAAGUCCCACGGACACGUUGGAAUCGGAGAAAGCCUCGGUUCUCAUGGAUUAAGUGUGUGAUUUUUCGUCACGUCAGCGUUAAAAAGAUCAUGGCUGCAUUUUUUUUAGCGGGAAUUUGAUAAAUAGUCCGCCAUGUUUGUCGGGUAAUAGAAAUGUUUUUUUAUUUAUUUUAUUUUUUUAUUUUUAUGAACAAGACGGACACGAGCUUUGUGUGGGUGUACCACUGUGGGCGGGCACCUCUCAAAGGCCUCUCUCUCUCCAGGAGGAAAGAUAUCACCAUGGACUAGCAGAUCAUCCUCCACACAGUCUCAGUGAUGAGGAGAUUGGGUGAAGAGGAGGGGCCUUCAUCAGUGCCACCUGUGACUGCCGUCGUGAGAGACCGGGGAACACAAGGACCCUCGGGAGUUAUUUUCCACAGACGAGCUCUGAGCUGGAAUUAAGUUGUCUUUGUCAGUCUGAUCCAUUAGUCAUCAAGUCCAGGUAACAAGAAUCAAGAGUGACAUUUGGUGUUCUAAUUAAAUUUCAACCCAGAUUCUCCCUUGUCUUAUGCACUCAGGCAGUCAAUGGGAGAGGGGCUUGGCUGGAGGAAAUUGGCUUAAUUUAAUAAAGCUCAGAAACUCAGUUGUUUACACUCUAUAAAGCGUCUCAAGUGGAACAAAUGUCUAUAAA